GAGUGGCGGACGGGUGAGUAAUGCUUGGGAACUUGCCUUUAGGUGGGGGAUAACAGUUGGAAACGACUGCUAAUACCGCAUAAUGUCUACGGACCAAAGGGGGCUUCGGCUCCCGCCUUGAGAGAGGCCCAAGUGAGAUUAGCUAGUUGGUGGGGUAAAGGCCUACCAAGGCAACGAUCUCUAGCUGUUCUGAGAGGAAGAUCAGCCACACUGGGACUGAGACACGGCCCAGACUCCUACGGGAGGCAGCAGUGGGGAAUAUUGCACAAUGGGGGAAACCCUGAUGCAGCCAUGCCGCGUGUGUGAAGAAGGCCUUCGGGUUGUAAAGCACUUUCAGUUGUGAGGAAAGGUUGGUAGUUAAUACCUGCCAGCUGUGACGUUAACAACAGAAGAAGCACCGGCUAACUCCGUGCCAGCAGCCGCGGUAAUACGGAGGGUGCGAGCGUUAAUCGGAAUUACUGGGCGUAAAGCGCACGCAGGCGGCUUGUUAAGCUAGAGGUGAAAGCCCCGCGCUCAACGUGGGAACUGCCUUUAGAACUGGCAGGCUAGAGUCUUGGAGAGGGGAGUGGAAUUCCAGGUGUAGCGGUGAAAUGCGUAGAUAUCUGGAGGAACAUCAGUGGCGAAGGCGGCUCCCUGGCCAAAGACUGACGCUCAUGUGCGAAAGUGUGGG
rnacentral:rRNA from 1 species